GGUAAGGAAAACCAACUAAAAUCCAUGGCUUCUUUAUCAGUGGCCGCCAUUUUAUCACGUCUCUGUAUGUUGGGAUUCGCAUCGAAAUGUUCUUUAAACCCAUUAUUUAUCCCCCCCAAAAGUAGUAGAAUCGAGAGAUUGAAUCGAUCGAGACCCUUCUCGAUGGCUUCGGCACCUAAAGAAUCUCCGGCCAACAAUCCGGGACUUCACGCUACCCCCGAUGAUGCCACCAAAGGUUACAUCAUGCAGCAGACCAUGUUUCGGAUUAAGGAUCCUAAAGCCAGUCUUGACUUCUAUUCUCGAGUUCUUGGCAUGUCAUUACUCAAGAGGCUGGAUUUUCCUGAAAUGAAGUUCAGUUUGUACUUUAUGGGUUAUGAGGAUCCUGCUUCUGCACCAGCCGACUCAGUUGAUAGAACGGUCUGGACUUUUGGUCGAAAAGCUACAAUUGAGUUAACACACAAUUGGGGUACUGAAAGCGACCCAGAAUUUAAAGGAUAUCAUAAUGGGAACUCAGACCCUCGUGGAUUUGGACACAUUGGUAUAACUGUCGAUGACACACAUCAAGCAUGUGAGAGAUUUGAACGCCUAGGUGUAGAAUUUGUUAAAAAACCAGAUGAUGGCAAGAUGAAAGGGAUCGCGUUUAUAAAGGAUCCUGAUGGCUACUGGAUUGAAAUCUUUGACCUCAAAACUAUUGGAAAAACCACCGCUGGUGCUGCUUGAGGUCAUAUGAACCAAUCUCUGGUAAAUAAAACAAUAGAUCUUGGGCGUCAGCUGAUCAGACCCACCUCUUUGGGUGGAUAAAUGGUGAAACUAGGAUUGAUGAUCUCUUCUUUAUAACAAGGUGUAUCCGGUGAAAAUGUGUGGUUUCUGGUGAACCUGGCUCGAGCCGACUACUGGAAGAAUAAGCAUUUAUGGAAUCUCUUUGCUCUAUAUUUUCCAUAAAUUAGUAUUUGUUUAAAGAAAUUAUCACCCUUUUUGGUACCUUGUGGAUUUUGAAUAAUGUGAUGAGUUUUAUCCCUUUCACUUUUGGCCCUCUUCUUUCAAUACACAGCAAAUCUAAUAAAUAAUCCCAUUUUAACGUA